rnacentral:lncRNA from 1 species
AACCCCUCAUUUCACAGAAGAAAUAACACCAUCUCUUUCAACAUCUUGUUUUAGGCUUCUCAGUAGAUUUCCUAAAAGACUGAUGAACAAGAUAAUUUGACUGACACCAACCCAGUUUUUCCUGACACCCCACACACAUGCAAGAUCUGACAGUUGCCUUCCAAACAUCUUUAUGCCUCUGAAGUUCCAGUAAAUGCUUCUUCUGGGCCCGUCUACCCUGUGUGUUGCACCAGCGGUGGCCAAAGCACACAGCUGGCAUAUGCCCUGUGUGAGAGUGUGAGUUUUAGCUUGCCCAUACAGCCAUGACUGAGCUAUGGAAAGUGAGCUGACAGAAAAGUCUGCAGAGCUAACAGAAAAGACACAUCUUGCAGCUUGACCACUUGAGGGAAAUGAUGCUUCAGAACUAACAGUUCACCAGCCACCACAGGGACACCGACUGAGGAAGAAUUUGUCUGGAGACUCCCUAGAGCAUUACAAAGAGCUUUACAAAAUUUUUCAGUCUAUAGUGAGGCAGUGAUCUGCACUGUUCUUGUGAAAUGAGCUGCGUUUGCAUGGACGUUGGCCGUUGCAAGAGAUGACCCUCACUUCCAGCUGCUGAGUAACCCUUCUUCCUGUUCUGUGUUACUGCAUCCCAAAACCCAGCUCUUUGGGAGGUGGCUGUGUGGAAUAAGGUGCAGAGAACUUUCUGUGCAGCAGAGGCCCAUAUCACAACCAGAGCAUGUGAGGAUAACUGCCUCUACAAGGAGAGCAUUAGUUCUUUUCCCUCCUCACCAAACAUCCUGUGUGCUCCUCUCAGGACUCAUGACAACUCAGUGGAGAAGAGCUGUUGAGUAUGGCCAGCUAAAGCAAAGGAGAUUUGCCUUAGUUAAGAGUGAGUGCUUUCUGGUUAUGUUAAAAACUAGCACUUCGUCCUCUGAGGUACCCGUUGAUUUUGAUUGGUGUUACAAGCCACCUCGUGAUGGGCUGUAGUAGAAAAAGCAGUUGCCACUG